rnacentral:lncRNA from 1 species
UCAUCAAUUAAUAAAAACAAAGUGUAAUUUUGUACUCUCAAAAGACUACUCAAAACACAUAAAUUCCAUCUAAUACCAAAAAUAAUAGAUUUCCACUUCAACCAAUCUGGCUUUACACAAUUUCUGUAAUAACAAACUUCCUCUACCGAAACACACACAAAUCUCAAUAAACAACAAUCAUAAUCUUCCAUCCAUAAACAAUCUCAUACAAAAUUUGAUAACAAUUCUCAAUAUCCUCUCAUAAUAAUUUAAUCA